UGAAAGUUAGCUGGAAAUUUCAUUGAAGAAAAUAAAGCAAGAAAAACAAAGAUUGAUUGAUAAUCAACAGCUAUUGCUUGACCAUGGAACCAUGGAUUGAAGUAAAGUCAUCACUUAUUGCAAUUUGUUAAAUGUUAACUCUUCCCUAUCUGCGUUCACGCUUCACCCUUCAUUCACUUAAUUAAGCUCUGCUUCAAAUUUUCAGACAUUUCUUUUGUUUGAUUAGUUACUUCCUUCCCAACCAUGCUAGUGAUAGAAACACUUGGUGGUGCUCUUUUCGGUGCUGUUUGACAGGCUGAAUUCUCGUCAAGUUCUGGACUACUUUCGUGGAAGAAAGGUCGAUGUGAAGCUUCUGAAGAAGUUGAAGAGGAAGCUGGUGUCUGUUAAUGCUGUGGUUGAUGAUGCAGAACAGAAGCAGUUCAGAGAUACGUAUGUGAAGGCAUGGCUUGAUCAGGUCAGAGAUGUGUUGCUUGAUACAGAGGAUCUGAUGGAUGAAAUAGAGUAUGAAUUCUCUAGAUCUGAGUUGGAAGUUCAAUCCAGAGCAGUUCUAGCAAGGUAUGCAGUUUUGAAUCCAAGAUUGUAGAAGUCCUUGAUGGCCUUGCUCAACAUGUGUACAAUGACCCAAUGAUAGAGGCUAAAUUUGCUAUCAAAGGUUGGAUUUGUGUUUCAAAUGAAUUUGAUGUUUUUAUGGUAACAAAAAGUAAUUGUUGGGGCAAUCACUAAGUCAAAAGAUGAUAGUGUAGACCAUUUCUGUACACCUAGAAAUGGUCCAGGGACGAUUGAAAGAAACGUUGACAGGAAGGAAAGUUUCUCCUCGUUCUUGAUGAUGUCUGGAACAAACAUCGAGACCAGUGAAAAUCAUUGCAAACUACUCUUAAAUAUGGGACUAAGGGAAGUAAAAUUCUCAUCACAACACGCAGUAACAAAGUUGCUUCUACCAUGGACUUAAACAAUAUUCACCAACUAAAGCAAUUACAAAAAGAUAAGAGCUAUCAAGUUUUUUCUAAACAUGCAUUUUGCAUUUCAAAAUGAUAACUCUAAGUUGAAUUAUGUGUUGAAAGAGAUUGGCAUGAAGAUAGUAGAAAAGUGUCAACGACUAACUCUGGCUCUUGAAACAAUAGAAUCUCUUUUACUGUCAAAGUCAUUUGUUUCAGAGUGGGAAAGUGUACUAAGAAGCAACAUAUGGGACUUACGGAUUGAAGAUAGUAAAACUAUCCUCGCUUUGUUGUUGAGCUAUUACCAUCCUCCUUCUCAUCUUAAGAGAUGUUUCGCUUAUUGUGCGUUAUUCCCCAAAUACCAUAAGUUUGAGAAGGAGAGCUUAAUUCUCUCAUGGAUGACUCAGAAUUUCCUACAAUGUUCUCAGCAGAGUGAGUCUCUAGAAGAAAUAGGUGAACAAUACUUCAAUGAUCUAUUAUCAAGGUCAUUCUUUUAGCAGUCAAUUUGGUACACCAGAACAUGUUUUCUGAUGCACGACCUUCUGAAUGAUUUAGCGAAAUAUGUUUCUGGUGAAAUCUGCUACAGGUUGGGUGUUGAUAGACCAGGAAGCGUACCAAAG
rnacentral:lncRNA from 1 species